UACGUAGGGGGCAAGCGUUGUCCGGAAUCAUUGGGCGUAAAGCGCGCGUAGGCGGCCCGGUAAGUCCGCUGUAAAAGUCCAGGGCUCAACCCUGGAAAGCCGGUGGAUACUGUCGGGCUAGAGUCCGGAAGAGGCGAGUGGAAUUCCUGGUGUAGCGGUGGAAUGCGCAGAUAUCAGGAGGAACACCAAUGGCGAAGGCAGCUCGCUGGGACGUUACUGACGCUGAGACGCGGAAGCGUGGGGAGCAAACAGG
rnacentral:rRNA from 1 species